GAGUGUCUCGAAAGAAUUUCCAGUUUAGCUAGUGCAUUGAAGAAAGGCUGUGACUGUGCCCACCGUGCUCAGAGGUCAGAGCUGCAUCUCCUGGCUCUGCAGUACGUUGUAUGCAGACAGCAUUGCUGGAGGCUCUACUGCACCUCUGGAGAAGGUCUCGUCUCUGUGCCUGGAGAUCCAACUGAACACUGGUCAGUGUCUCCUCCAGCAAACAUGUCAGGUGUUCUGCAAAAACUGGAGGCAGACUAUAAUGAGAUGAAGGACCAGAUCAUGAAAGGGAUCCCUCUGGAUCAGCUGAAACCUCUGUCUGUAAACCCCGAGAACAUAACUGCAGGAGCAACUUACACACCUGCACAAAUGACAGCUAAUGUGUUAGGUAUCCAUCCCUCGCUGGAUCCACAUAAGAGUGAAACUUCAGAAAAAGACAACGGGGGCUCCGGUAAUCCAAGGAUCUCUCCCUGUCAGGUA